AACGUAGGUUCCGAGCGUUAUCCGGAUUUACUGGGCGUAAAGCGCGUUCAGGCGGUUUGGCAAGUCGGGCAUGAAAUCUCUCGGCUCAACCGGGAGAGGUUGUCCGAUACUGCUGGACUUGAGGGCAGUAGAGGGUGGUGGAAUUCCGGGUGUAGUGGUGAAAUGCGUAGAUAUCCGGAGGAACACCAGUGGCGAAGGCAGCUCUCUGGGACGGUACUGACACUGAGACGCGAAAGCGUGGGGAGCGAACAGG
rnacentral:rRNA from 1 species